UGAUUGUUGUUUUGGCUUUUUUUUUAUUUUUUAUUUUGCAUGUAUUCGUUAUUUUUAUUUUUAU
rnacentral:ribozyme from 1 species